rnacentral:rRNA from 1 species
GACUAGAUUGAACGCUGGCGGGAUGCUUUACACAUGCAAGUCGAACGGCAGCACGGACUUCUGGUCUGGUGGCGAGUGGCGAACGGGUGAGUAAUGUAUCGGAACGUGCCUAGUAGCGGGGAUAACUACGCGAAAGCGUAGCUAAUACCGCAUACUAACCCUUCGGGGAAAGCGGGGACCUUCGGGCCUCGCACUAUUAGAGCGCCGAUAUCGGAUUAGCUAGUUGGUGGGGUAACGGCUCACCAAGGCGACGAUCCGUAGCUGGUUUGAGAGGACGACCAGCCACACUGGGACUGAGACACGGCCCAGACUCCUACGGGAGGCAGCAGUGGGGAAUUUUGGACACGGGGGAAACCCUGAUCCAGCCAUCCCGCGUGUGCGAUGAAGGCCUUCGGGUUGUAAAGCACUUUUGGCAGGAAAGAAACGGCACGGGAUAAUACCCCGUGCAACUGACGGUACCUGCAGAAUAAGCACCGCCAACUGAUGUGCCAGCAGCCGCGGUAAUACGUAGGGUGCAAGCGUUAAUCGGAAUUACUGGGCGUAAAGCGUGCGCAGGCGGUUCGGAAAGAAAGAUGUGAAAUCCCAGAGCUUAACUUUGGAACUGCAUUUUUAACUACCGAAGAGCUAGAGUGUGUCAGAGGGAGGUGGAAUUCCGCGUGUAGCAGUGAAAUGCGUGAUAUGCGGAGGAACACCGAUGGCGAAGGCAGCCUCCUGGGAUAACACUGACGCCUGCGCACGAAAGCGUGGGGAGCAACAGGAUUAGAUACCCUGGUAGUCCGCGCCCCAAACGAUGUCAACUAGCUGUUAGCCUUCGGGCCUUGGUAGCGCAGCUAACGCGGUGAAGUUGACCGCCUGGGGAGUACGGUCACAAGAUUAAAACUCAAAGGAAUUGACGGGGACCCGCACAAGCGGUGGAUGAUGUGGAUUAAUUCGAUGCAACGCGAAAAACCUUACCUACCCUUGACAUGUCUGGAAUCCCGAAGAGAUUUGGGAGUGCUCGCAAGAGAACCGGAACACAGGUGCUGCAUGGCUGUCGUCAGCUCGCGUCGUGAGAUGUUGGGUUAAGUCCCGCAACGAGCGCAACCCUUGUCAUUAGUUGCUACGAAAGGGCACUCUAAUGAGACUGCCGGUGACAAACCGGAGGAAGGGGAUGACGUCAAGUCCUCAUGGCCCUCUUAUGUAGGGCUUCACACGUCAUACAAUGGUCGUGGACGAGGCCGCCAACCCGCGAGGUGGGGAGCCAACCUGUGAAACCCGAUCGUAGUCCGGAUCGCAGUCUGCAACCUCGACUAAAGAAGUCGGAAUCGCUAGUAAUCGCGAUCAGCAUGUCGCAGAAUACGUUCCCUGGUCUCUGUACACACCGCCUGUCACACCAUGGGAGUGGGUUUUACCAGAAGUAUGGGGCCUAACCGUAAGGAGGGCGAUUACCACGGUAGGAUUCAUGACUGGGGUGAAGUCGUAACAAGGUAA